rnacentral:lncRNA from 1 species
GUUUAAAACAAGUCCCUAAGAUUUGGUAUGAAAGAUUAAAUAAGUUCUUACUAGAAAAUAAUUUUUUAAGAGAAAAAAUAGAUACAACUCUUUUUAUAAAAAGAAAAGAUAAAAAAUUCUAGUUAUACAAAUAUAUAUUGAUGAUAUUAUAUUUGGAUCUACUAAUGAAGCUUUGUGCUAAAAAUUUGCCAAGCUCAUGCAGGA